AGUGAACGCUGGCGGCGUGCCUAAUACAUGCAAGUCGAACGGACGAGUAAGAGCUUGCUCUUAUGAGUUAGUGGCGCACGGGUGAGUAAUGUAUAGCUAAUCUGCCCUACACUAGAGGACAACAGUUGGAAACGACUGCUAAUACUCUAUACUCCUCUCUAGCAUAAGUUAGAUAGGGAAAGUUUUUCGGUGUAGGAUGAGGCUAUAUUGUAUCAGCUAGUUGGUGAGGUAAUGGCUCACCAAGGCUAUGACGCAUAACUGGUCUGAGAGGAUGAUCAGUCACACUGGAACUGAGGCACGGUCCAGACUCCUACGGGAGGCAGCAGUAGGGAAUAUUGCUCAAUGGGGGAAACCCUGAAGCAGCAACGCCGCGUGGAGGAUGACACUUUUCGGAGCGUAAACUCCUUUUGUUAGGGAAGAACAAUGACGGUACCUAACGAAUAAGCACCGGCUAACUCCGUGCCAGCAGCCGCGGUAAUACGGAGGGUGCAAGCGUUACUCGGAAUCACUGGGCGUAAAGGACGCGUAGGCGGAUUAUCAAGUCUCUUGUGAAAUCCUAUGGCUUAACCAUAGAACUGCUUGGGAAACUGAUAAUCUAGAGUGAGGGAGAGGCAGAUGGAAUUGGUGGUGUAGGGGUAAAAUCCGUAGAGAUCACCAGGAAUACCCAUUGCGAAGGCGAUCUGCUGGAACUCAACUGACGCUAAUGCGUGAAAGCGUGGGGAGCAAACAGG
rnacentral:rRNA from 1 species